GGCGGCGUGCCUAACACAUGCAAGUCGAGGGGCAUCAAGGUACACGAAAGUGUAUUGUUGGCGACCGGCGGACGGGUGAGUAAUAGGUAGGUAACCUACCUCAUACUGAGGCAUAGCUGGGAGAAAUUCCAGGUAAUUCCUCAUGAGGUUAUAUGACACAUGUGAUAUAAUCAAAGGUAUCGCAAGGUACUGGUAUGAGAUGGGCUUACUGACCAUUAGCUAGUUGGUGAGAUAAGAGCUCACCAAGGCGAAGAUGGUUAGGGGUUUUGAGAGAGAGAUCCCCCACAUUGGAACUGAGAUACGGUCCAGACUCCUACGGGAGGCAGCAGUGGGGAAUUUUGGACAAUGGGCGAAAGCCUGAUCCAGCCAUGCCGCGUGAGUGAAGAAGGCCUUCGGGUUGUAAAGCUCUUUCGGCUGGGAAGAAAUCGCACAGGCUAAUACUCUGUGUGGAUGACGGUACCAGCACAAGAAGCACCGGCUAACUACGUG
rnacentral:rRNA from 1 species